AAUGCAGAGGAGGAGUUCUCAGAGGGCUCAUCUUUCUCCGACUGGUCACCAUCACCAGCAUGUGCAUCCCAAGGGUCAUCGUCAGGUUCUGACUCAACACUGAUAUUGGAAUCUACCAAAGCUCGGAAAAGACAGCUUGUUGAGGGACCCCUGGAUAGCAACGUUGCAAGAUAUGUACGUUAACCCCUGAUAUUAACCCUGAUGUCAGUUAGACUAAUGUCACACUUGACAUUGAAAUUUCACAAUAAUUUUAUUAGUACUGCAGCUUCGGCAGGCAGCCUCACAUAUUGUACCUGCAAUGUCAAUGUCAUGCAAUUGUCAUUUCAAAAUGUCAGAGUUGCUCUGUAUUCAAAGCCUGGUGGAAAGGAAAUAUUCCAAGAGUAUGAGAAAACAAAUGCCAUCAGUGAUGCUACAAGAAGAAAGAUGGCAAACAUUCUUGUGGCAGAUAUGGUGAGAGCCACAGGAGGGUCCCUCCAGUGAAUGUGCGGAACCUCUAUGCACUUGGGAUGACAACACUGUUCCCUAAAUUGAAGGACCCGGAUUCCAAAAAUGGUUAUGAACAUUUCUAUGAUCAACAGAGUGGUUCUGGCUACCUAGCAUGGAGGCUGAAAACUGUUCCCUGACCCAUUUGCUGACUCCUUUAUACCCCACAGGAACCUGCAUGUUGCUUCAAACAGAAGAAUAGAAAAGGUUGUUAUUAUUCGUUUUUACAUUUACACCAAGGGUUUCGGCAGCGAGGCUGCACAGUCCGGCCAUCGCGAGAAGACAUCCCAGCAAUUUGACAGGCAAUUAGAUGUGAGAGAGAAAAAGUACCUGCAUCUGUACAGCGUUGCGUGUUGCUGUCGCCUGCCGCUGCUGUUUAUCGUGCACCACGUGUUGAGUUUUCGUCCUGUUCCGAUGACUUUCACGCUCUCCCCCCAUCCCCCCUCCCGCCAUUCAGUGUUGGAAUUACCGCGCGACCACCUUGCACAGCCUACGCAACAUGGCACUGAGAGAGAUGAAGGAAGGUGACUUGCUAUUUUUAAAAGAAAGGAAAAAAAAAUACUGUCAGAAACUGUGGCGUUCCCAAACGCCAGUGUCUCGUUAAAACGCUGUAAAUUAGCACAACACUUUCAAAGACAAUGUAGGCCUAUAUAAAAUGAGCCCUGCACAUGUCUGAUGUUGUCAUACAACACUCAUAUUUUGUAACGGAGGUAACCUGGUUGGGGUUAGGGCUAGUCCCGGAAUUAUCUUCCGUUCAUGUCCGGUGUGUCGGCCAGAACACCACUUAUGGCCGCGUCUGGGGUGAGGAGUGAUGAAGAGGGAGGCAGGUUGCAGGUGAACGAAGGCUUAUACUCACAGUUCAGCUGGCAUACAAACUGUACUCGUGAGCGUGGAUGUGUGGGUGUGUGAGUGUGUGGUUUCCUAAACAAAGGAAAGAAUAAACAAUUACCAAAAUGACAUUGA